rnacentral:rRNA from 1 species
CGCGGCCUAUCAGCUUGUUGGUGGGGUAGUGGCCUACCAAGGCGGCGACGGGUAGCCGGCCUGAGAGGGUGACCGGCCACAUUGGGACUGAGAUACGGCCCAGACUCCUACGGGAGGCAGCAGUGGGGGAUAUUGCACAAUGGGCGCAAGCCUGAUGCAGCAACGCCGCGUGCGGGAUGACGGCCUUCGGGUUGUAAACCGCUUUCAGCAGGGACGAAGCUUUUUGUGACGGUACCUGCAGAAGAAGCACCGGCUAACUACGUGCCAGCAGCCGCGGUGAUACGUAGGGUGCGAGCGUUGUCCGGAUUUAUUGGGCGUAAAGGGCUCGUAGGCGGUUGAUCGCGUCGGAAGUGGAAACUUGAUGCUUAACGUUGAGCGUGCUUUCGAUACGGGUUGACUUGAGGAAGGUAGGGGAGAAUGGAAUUCCUGGUGGAGCGGUGGAAUGCGCAGAUAUCAGGAGGAACACCAGUGGCGAAGGCGGUUCUCUGGACCUUUCCUGACGCUGAGGAGCGAAAGCGUGGGGAGCGAACAGGCUUAGAUACCCUGGUAGUCCACGCUGUAAACGGUGGGUACUAGGUGUGGGGUCCAUUCCACGGAUUCUGUGCCGUAGCUAACGCAUUAAGUACCCCGCCUGGGGAGUACGG